rnacentral:rRNA from 1 species
GACGAACGCUGGCGGCGUGCUUAACACAUGCAAGUCGAACGGAAAGGCCCUGCUUUUGUGGGGUGCUCGAGUGGCGAACGGGUGAGUAACACGUGAGUAACCUGCCCUUGACUUUGGGAUAACUUCAGGAAACUGGGGCUAAUACCGGAUAGGAGCUCCUGCUGCAUGGUGGGGGUUGGAAAGUUUCGGCGGUUGGGGAUGGACUCGCGGCUUAUCAGCUUGUUGGUGGGGUAGUGGCUUACCAAGGCUUUGACGGGUAGCCGGCCUGAGAGGGUGACCGGCCACAUUGGGACUGAGAUACGGCCCAGACUCCUACGGGAGGCAGCAGUGGGGAAUAUUGCACAAUGGGCGGAAGCCUGAUGCAGCAACGUCGCGUGCGGGAUGACGGCCUUCGGGUUGUAAACCGCUUUCGCCUGUGACGAAGCGUGAGUGACGGUAAUGGGUAAAGAAGCACCGGCUAACUACGUGCCAGCAGCCGCGGUGAUACGUAGGGUGCGAGCGUUGUCCGGAUUUAUUGGGCGUAAAGGGCUCGUAGGUGGUUGAUCGCGUCGGAAGUGUAAUCUUGGGGCUUAACCCUGAGCGCGCUUUCGAUACGGGUUGACUUGAGGAAGGUAGGGGAGAAUGGAAUUCCUGGUGGAGCGGUGGAAUGCGCAGAUAUCAGGAGGAACACCAGUGGCGAAGGCGGUUCUCUGGGCCUUUCCUGACGCUGAGGAGCGAAAGCGUGGGGAGCGAACAGGCUUAGAUACCCUGGUAGUCCACGCUGUAAACGGUGGGUACUAGGUGUGGGGUCCAUUCCACGGGUUCCGUGCCGUAGCUAACGCUUUAAGUACCCCGCCUGGGGAGUACGGCCGCAAGGCUAAAACUCAAAGGAAUUGACGGGGCCCCGCACAAGCGGCGGAGCAUGCGGAUUAAUUCGAUGCAACGCGUAGAACCUUACCUGGGUUUGACAUGGAUCGGGAGUGCUCAGAGAUGGGUGUGCCUCUUUUGGGGUCGGUUCACAGGUGGUGCAUGGCUGUCGUCAGCUCGUGUCGUGAGAUGCUGGGUUAAGUCCCGCAACGAGCGCAACCCUUGUUCACUGUUGCCAGCACGUUAUGGUGGGGACUCAGUGGAGACCGCCGGGGUCAACUCGGAGGAAGGUGGGGAUGACGUCAAGUCAUCAUGCCCCUUAUGUCCAGGGCUUCACGCAUGCUACAAUGGCUGGUACAGAGAGUGGCGAGCCUGUGAGGGUGAGCGAAUCUCGGAAAGCCGGUCUCAGUUCGGAUUGGGGUCUGCAACUCGACCUCAUGAAGUCGGAGUCGCUAGUAAUCGCAGAUCAGCAACGCUGCGGUGAAUACGUUCCCGGGGCU